UUAGGAAUCGAAUGGCAGAUUCCACCUUUCAGCCGGAGCCCAAGGUUUUAUUUUUCAUUUGAGAAUUCAGAACAGAAAGCACUUCCCGGUAGUUGUUAUUUUGUGAAAAGACACAGUAAGCUGAAUUUACUGAAACAAGAGCUGCACAUGGCCAUGAAGGGUGAUCCAGUGAGAGCCACUGGGCCUUGUCUGCCCCCACCCCAUGGAGAGGCAACAGUGUCAGGAACAGAGGGCAAGGCCGAGAGAUGAGACAGAAGGGUGGGGGUGGGGAGAAGUCCCCAUGUGGAAUUAGCAUAUGUGCAGAUGAGUGCUGAUAAUGAAGACCAAGCACCAGAGAGACAGCCGGCACCUCUCUGCAGUUGCCUCCCUACUCCUAGCCCUGGGUCAGCCUCCCUCUACCCAACAAUGGGGUCGGGGAAGGCAUGGCACCCACUUUUGAGGAAGAGAAUAAAUGUCCUCACAGCAGCUGUGGAAGGGAAUGUCCAGCUCUGGGGAAGGAGGAGGG
rnacentral:lncRNA from 1 species